rnacentral:rRNA from 1 species
UACGUAGGGACCAAGCGUUGUUCGGAUUUACUGGGCGUAAAGGGCGCGUAGGCGGCAAUUCAAGUCAGUUGUGAAAUCUCCGAGCUUAACUCGGAACGGUCAACUGAUACUGUUUGCUAGAGUACAGAAGGGGCAAUCGGAAUUCUUGGUGUAGCGGUGAAAUGCGUAGAUAUCAAGAGGAACACCUGAGGUGAAGACGGGUUGCUGGGCUGAUACUGACGCUGAGGCGCGAAAGCUAGGGUAGCGAACGGG